rnacentral:lncRNA from 10 species
UUGGUACUGUUAUCACCCCUAUUUUACAGAUGGGGCCACUGAGGUGCAAAGAGUUUAACUUAUCCCAAGUCACACAGUUUGGAAGAGGCUGAGCUGGUAUUUGAACCCAGGUUUUCAGAGGCUGCACUCUUAACCACCAAGCUUCCCAGCACUCAGCAAACACUGGAAAGACAGAGAUGGACCUAGACAGUCAGUAGGACCAAAAGUCUGCAGGCCGAUAGGGAAAGAAUGUAAGAGGACGGCAUGGGCAGCGCCAGCCCCUCCAGCAGUCAUAUAUUAAGCCCUGGACACUGGGCAGCUCGGGCAGGUCGGGGGGCCUCAGACUCUCGGACCCCAUGCCUGGAAGACCACGGUCUGCCCAACAAGCAGCAGCUGCUGUGAAUCGACUUACACAUCUUCCCCACAGUGACUCGGGGAUAGCUGCCCUGAUGCCAAGGCGAUUGUCUUCUGGAAGCAGCCACGCCGUGUGAGGUUCCUCAUCACUGCCCUGCAUCUCCCUGCGAGCUCUCGGGGAUAAUUGCAAAAUCACGUUUGAUUCCAGGGGAGCAGAAAGCAGCAGGAGCCGUGAAUUCUCCAACUCUUAACUGGUCCUCGACUGGAGCCACUUUUCCCUGCCCACCCAUCCCUGUGGCGGAUUCAUUACAGUUAUCCAAAGCCGGUUUUAACUUUGCUCCCCCUGGCUCAGAAGUCUGUCAGUGGGUCCUGAGCGGCUUCACCAUUCAAGUUUAUUCCUAUCAGCCUGGAAUACAAUGCUCUAUCUGGCUCCGCUUGCUUCUCCAAACCUUCUCUCCCAGGUCUCAUUCUGCCUCUCUGUCUAACUAGACAAGUUGGCUUCCUGUCCUGUGCCUGUCUGCUCCCUGCAGCAGGAAUGCCGUUCCCUCUUCCCUACAGAUUGAAAUUAUAUCCUCUUUCAAGUCUUACUCAAAUGCCAC